rnacentral:rRNA from 1 species
AUGAACGCUGGCGGCGUGCCUAAUACAUGCAAGUCGAACGAGGUGCUUUUGUAGCAAUACGGAAGUAUCCUAGUGGCGAACGGGUGAGUAACGCGUUGGUGACCUACCCCAAAGUGUGGGAUAACAGUUCGAAAGAACUGCUAAUACCGCAUGUGGUUAUUGGAUUUAGAAACCGAUAACUAAAGGAGCAAUUCGCUUUGGGAGGGACCUGCGUCCCAUCAGCUAGUUGGUGAGGUAAUGGCUCACCAAGGCUACGACGGGUAGGGGACCUGAGAGGGUGACCCCCCACAAUGGAACUGAAACACGGUCCAUACACCUACGGGUGGCAGCAGUAGGGAAUAUUAGUAAUGGGCGAAAGCCUGAACUAGCAACACCGCGUGUGCGAUGAAGGCCUUCGGGUUGUAAAGCACUUUUCGGGAGGAUGAGGAAGGACGGUACUCCCGGAAUAAGUCUCGGCUAACUACGU